CACAAGACUACAAUGAGAGAAGACUACAGGACAACACUCCUACAUUCAUCUACAGGACCAUUUACAUUUGCACAAUACAUACUUAAAAAAUCAGGAAUACACAGAUUAUUAUAUUUGUGGAAACAGUAAUGCUGCCGCUUUCCCCUGCAGCUCCAGAAUAUUAAAAAUAAAUAAAUAAAAAGACAUUUAAUUGACAGAAGAAAAAUCCUUUGACAUUAUCCAUUAACGCAAAGACCUAAAUGUAUAUGUUCUAUUAUAGGGUCAAGAUGCACAAGACAAGGGGCCUCGCGGGUGGCGCAAAACACUGGAAGACUGCCUUGUAGAGGAGCACAGAUCUCACGAACACGUCGACUUAAACCGGACUCAGCAGAGAGAGACCACGGGAUAAAAAAAUAAAAUCUACAACGGUACUGAUUUUCUACUGAAUUAUAACAUAUUUAUUUGCCAAGUGCUUUUCAAAACCUUACACUUAAAAAAAAAAAAUGAUGCUCGGGCUUAAAGAUUUCUCUGUGAGAUUCACAGGAUGGAGAAGGAAUCGUUUCAGGCACCUGUUCGGUGUGAUAAAACUCUGUUCUCUAUUAAUAAAACUCUGGGUCUGUAGCGCCAACUAGUGGACAUAAUGAUGUACUGGAGGUCCAAAUGAGAUCCUUUGUAUUUGUCAAACGCUCCUGAUACACACAGCUGUAGUGGACUUUACAGUGAAGUGCUUCUUCACAGGACAUUUCCCAACCAUGCAGAGUUUAAGUAUGAAACAUUUGCUAAAUAAACUAGAAAAUAGCAACACAAUAAAAUAACAAUAACGAGACUAUAGAGAGUACCAGGUAGUAAUGAGACUAUAUACCAGGAGUACAGAGUCACUGUGCAGGGGUACCAGGUAGUAAUGAGACUAUAUACAAGGAGUACAGAGUCACUGUGCAGGGGUACCAGGUAGUAAUGAGACUAUAUACAAGGAGUACAGAGUCACUGUGCAGGGGUACCAGGUAGUAAUGAGACUAUAUACAAGGAGUACAGAGUCACUGUGCAGGGGUACCAGGUAGUAAUGAGACUAUAUACAAGGAGUACAGAGUCACUGUGCAGGGGUACCAGGUAGUAAUGAGACUAUAUACAAGGAGUACAGAGUCACUGUGCAGGGGUACCAGGUAGUAAUGAGACUAUAUACAAGGAGUACAGAGUCACUGUGCAGGGGUACCAGGUAGUAAUGAGACUAUAUACAAGGAGUACAGAGUCACUGUGCAGUGAUACCAGGUAGUAAUGAGACUAUAUACAAGGAGUACAGAGUCACUGUGCAGGGGUACCAGGUAGUAAUGAGACUAUAUACUCAGACGAGUUUCUUAUUGAAAGUGAACCCUGUUGCUAGGUAAACUACAGACAUAGAUCUACCCGGCUCUGAGGUAAACAAAGCUUUGUCUCCACCUGGUGGCUGGUGUAUGGCAUCUACACAAUGACAGGUGUUUCAAAUGGGGCUAAAUUCUGCUUCAAUUUAUUUAGUGAGAUCUUUCCCCCCUGG